rnacentral:rRNA from 1 species
GGACGAACGCUGGCGGCGUGCUUAACACAUGCAAGUCGAACGGAAAGGCCCUGCUUUUGUGGGGUGCUCGAGUGGCGAACGGGUUAGUAACACGUGAGUAACCUGCCCUUGACUUUGGGAUAACUUCAGGAAACUGGGGCUAAUACCGGAUAGGAGCUCCUGCUGCAUGGUGGGGGUUGGAAAGUUUCGGCGGUUGGGGAUGGACUCGCGGCUUAUCAGCUUGUUGGUGGGGUAGUGGCUUACCAAGGCUUUGACGGGUAGCCGGCCUGAGAGGGUGACCGGCCACAUUGGGACUGAGAUACGGCCCAGACUCCUACGGGAGGCAGCAGUGGGGAAUAUUGCACAAUGGGCGGAAGCCUGAUGCAGCAACGCCGCGUGCGAGAUGACGGCCUUCGGGUUGUAAACCGCUUUCGCCUGUGACGAAGCGUGAGUGACGGUAAUGGGUAAAGAAGCACCGGCUAACUACGUG